UCUUUCCAGGAUUCCUGUACCUGCAGUUGGAGCUGUGAGAGGCCACCUCCUCUGAAACUAAUCGGAGCUUCCAGCAUAACUUGCACCUGACUGAGUUAAUAAUGGUGACAAAGAAGCUUGAAGGUGCUGCUUCUGACAUGGCUGCCUGGCUUACAAAUGUUGGUAUCGAGUACAGGCUAGGUUCUUAUCAGUGUCCUCACCUUCUCAGAGUGCUCUGAGGGCCCGUCCAGGAUGGCGGCCAGAUUGAUGAUGAUGGCUUAGCAGUCCCAGCUGGAGGAGAAUCACAGGAUUUUCGGCCUGACUGAAGGUGAUCCAGAGGAUCUCCCGGGAGGAGUGGAGGCUCUACUGUCGGAGGAGGACACAUGGGGCAGAGGAGAUGGCCCUUCUCAUCCAGGACCGCCACGUCACCCUGUGGAUGUCCUGUUGCUGGACUCGGCAUCCAGGACAUAUGGAGUACACAGAGGCGCCACCUUAGCUGCAUUCAGGACCCACCUGGUGUGCAGCUGUACACAGAGACUGGUAAGCUGACAAAGGGCGGGGUCAGCCUGCCGGUUUUCCUCCUCCUCCUCUUCCUCCAGACGAUGAACAGCCUUGCCACUCAUCCAGUGUUGUCGGUCCUCCCAUCACUGUGUACCCAUGACCAGAGCCUACAGGAAGAGGAAGGCAACCGAAUCUGCUGUUGCAGGGUGGGGGCCACUGCCUGGAGGCAAAACCCGCUGGCAGCCAACAUCAUACGCCUGCAGCAAGUGAGGCCAACCCAAAAGGAUUGACACUGACCACACUCACAUUGCAGACGUGUCACACUGUGUGACUGUUUGCGGAAAGACUGUGGAGGAGUGGAGGGAGGAGAUGACAUGAUCGGAUGACAACUUUUUCUAUCUUCAUUUAUAAUUUUUGAUUUAAAUUAUUAUUAUAUUUUAGUUAGUUUUUUUUUGGAGUAGUGCUUGCUUCACCUGAUGUCUCAUGAUGAUCUCAGUCCAGUGUUCCCCCUCUUUUAUCUCUGUGUUUGGUCUCCACAAGCUCCUUGGGGAAAUAUCUGUCUCUUUAACUGCUAAAUGCUCCAUUAUGUUCACCAGCUGCUCUCUGACUAUCUGUCUGCUGUUUGCUGGUGAGAAGGUAGUGGACAGUGGCUUUUUACAGCUGUUUAUCUGAAAACAGCUUCCUGCUAUAGCCAAAAAAGUAUAAACAGUAGCUAUAUAUUCUAUUAUAUUGUUUUCUACUCUAUUAUUGUUGUUCAAGCUGACAUGUCAUACUGAGUGGGUGGAGAUUCAACUGUCAGAGGACAGGGGAGGAGAUUGCAUAGGGGAGUUUACAAAAGCACUGGGUGUGUACAACCGAGAUCCCUUUGUGAAAUACCAUGAUGCCACACCAGUAAGUUGCUGUAAACUAAUGCCCUUUGUUUUAUAUUAUUUAUUGUUUAUUUAUUUCAAAUUGUUUACCUUUAAUGAAUCUUAAUUUAUGACUUUAUUUGACCUAAAAAUUGUUAGUAAGGCAAAUCAAUCCAUCCAUUCAUCCUUCCAAGAGUUCCUUGCUGAAUUUCCUGAACAAAAGAAAUGGUUAUAUGGCUCUUUGAUCCAUGUGUUUAAUGUGCACAACAAUCAGUGUCCAGAACAUAGUCUCUUUACAGUCUUUUUGCAAUUGUAUUUGUUGCAACUAUCCUGACCAGAAAUUAGCCACCCAGCUGGGUCUGGAAGAAGACCUUGCUUUUCUUGAUGUCACCCAUUCAUCAUUAGCUGGUCAAUGGGAUCUGUGCCACAUAUAGACUCCACCAGUCCCAUUAAUCUACACUACAACCUGUUAUAUGGCUUGACCUAGACUACACAUACAAACAACCAUAAAUGCACGGACCUAAUAGAUGUCUACUACAAUAUUAUGUUAUGUUAUAUCAUUGUGUCUUUGAAAAUGUUUCUAAAUAAAAGAAUAGUCAUUCCACAAUCUACA